GGAGGUGUGGCCGAGUGGUUUAAGGCAGCAGUCUUGAAAACUGCCGACUGUAACAGGUCCCAGAGUUCUUAUCUAAGGUAGCCAGUCGUAGCACCUUACGUAGCAUCCUCCA
rnacentral:tRNA from 1 species